UGACCCUAGGUCAGGAGGGACUACCCACUAAGUUUAAGUAUAUCAAUAAGUGAAGAAAAAGAAAAUUAUAAGGAUUCCCUUAGUAACGGCGAGCGAAUCGGGAAUAGCCUAGGUUGAGAAUCGGGUGCCCUUAGUGUUUGAAUUGUAGUCUAAAGAAGCGUCCUCAACAGUAUACUGGGCCAAAGUCCCCUGGAAAAGGGCACCGAAGAGGCUGAGAGUCCCUCAUGCCUAGACCUUGUUGUACCACGAUGCGCUAUCGGCGAGUCAGAUUGUUUGGGAAUGUAGCUCUAGUCGGGCAAUAAAUUUCGUCUAAGGCUAAAUACUGGCAAGAGAUCGAUAGUAAACAAGUACCGUGAAGGAAAGAUAAAAAGGACUUUGAAACAAGAGUCAAAGAGUGUUUGAAAUUAUCAAGAAGGAAGUGGAUGGGGAUCCGCAAUGCACCUUGGUCAGAUGUUGAAUGGUAAGAGCAAGGCCACCGAUCUACUCAAGGUGCAAACUGAUGCAGAUUAAAGGUUCGGCCCAAGCCUGAGCUAUCGAUAUGCCUGUGGAGAUGUCGUCCCCCUGAUUGUGGAACCCAUCAUGUGUUGUCUCAGCGUUCUUCGACAUCUGCAUGCUCUGGGCAUCGACUUAUGUGAUCCCCAUUCAGCCUGUCUUGAAACAUAGAUCAAGGAAUCUAACAUGUGUGCGAGUCAACCCGCUAGAAAACCCAUAAGGCGCAAGGAAGUUGACUAGCAUGAUCCCCUUCUGGGUUGCACUACUAACUGACCCUGAUCUUUUGAAACGGCUUUGAGUGAGAGCAUGUAUGUCAGGACCCUAAAGAUGGUGAAAUAUGCCUGAGUAGAGCGAAGUUAGAGAUAACUCUGGUAGAGGCCCACAACGAUAGUGAUAUGCAAAUCAUUCAUCUGACAUUGGGUAUAGGGGCGAAAGACUAAUCAAACCGUCUAGUAGCUAGUUCCCUUUCUCUCAAGAUAGCUGGAGCUUGCAGACAAGUUCUAUCAAGUAAAGCCAAUGACUAGAGACAUCAGAGACAUAAUUCCCUUGACCUAUUCUCAAACUUUAAAUAGGUAGGAUAGAGCGAUUGCCUUGUUGAGUCAUGUCAUAGAAUCGAGAGCUCCAAGUAGGCCAUUUUGGUAAGUAGAACUAGCGAAUGCAGGAUAAACUGGAAGCCAGGAUACGGCACCCAACCGCGUGCUAAACUUGAACCCACAAAGGGUGUUGGUCGAUUAAGACAAUAGGACAAUGGUCAUAGAAGUCAAAAUCUGCUAAGAAGUAUGUAACAACUCAUUUGUCAAAUCAGCUUGCCCUAAAAAUAGAUGGCACUUAAGCACACGACCUACACUAGGUCGUCGAGGCAAGUGCCAGGUCCUAAAAAGUUGGAAGGCAUAGCAGUCGCUGCAAAAUCUAGGGCACGAGCUCAAACAGAGUGAUUGUUAGCAUAGAUCUUGGUGGUAGUAGCAAAUAUUUAAAUGAGAACUUUGAAGGCCAAAGAAGGGAAAGGUUCCAUAUGAACAACACUUGCAUAUGGGUUAGUUGAUCCUAAGAGACAGGAGAAGCCCGUUUAAUAUUGUUGUGAGUGCGAACUUCAAAAGGGAAUCAAGUUAAUACUCCUAAACUGGCACAUGGUAGCUAACAAAAAUGUCAGGGAGUCCAGAGACAUCAGCAGAAGCCUUGGGAAGAGUUAUCUUUUCUAUAUUAUAGCUUGCCCAUCCUAGAAAUGGCUCAGCUAGAGAUAGGGUCCAGUGGCUAGAAGAGCAUCGCAUGACAUGUUGUGUUCGGUGUGCCUCUGGCGGCCCUUCAAAAUCUGGAGGAUCAAGUGUCUCCCAUGCCCGGUCAUACUCAUAACUGCAUUGGGUCUCCAAGGUGAACAACCUCUGGUCAAUGGAAUAAUAUAGGAAAGGGAAAUUGGCAAAAUGGAUCCGUAACUUUGGGAAAAGAAUUGGCUUUAAGGGCUGGUAUGAGGGUCCCAGUUCUGAAUCUAUCGGCUGUCGGUGGACUGCUCGAGCUGCUCCCUCGACAAGAGUGGGUCAUCACGUUCCGGCUGGGGGAUGGAUUGGAAACGACUACUCUAGAGGCCUUCCUCGAGCAUCGAACAAUUGACUCAAAACUGGUACGGACAAGGGGAAUCCGACUAUUUUAUUAAAACAAAGUAUUGUGAUGGUCCUUGAGGAUGCUUAUGCAAUGCGAUUUUUGCUCAGUACCCUGAAUGUCAAAGUGAAAAAAUUUGACCAAGUGCAAGUAAAUGAUAGGAGUAACUAUGACUUUCUUAAGAUAGCCAAAUGCCUCAUCAUCUAAUUAGUGACACGUAUGAAUGGAUUAACGAGAUUCCUACUAUCUCUAUCUACUAUCUAGUGAAACCAUAGCUAGGGGAAUAGGUUUAGCAGAAUUGACAUGGAAAAAAGACCCUGUUGAGCUUGACGUUAGUCCGACUUUUUGAAAUGGCUUGAGAGGUGUAGUAUAAGUGGGAGCCAAAAAUGGCAAAAGUGAAAUUCAACUACUUUUAACAUUAUUUUACUUAUUCCGUGAAUCAGAUGUAGGGCAUUGCCCCUCGUUUUGGACCCAAGGCCCACUUUGGCGGGCUAAUCUGAGCAGAAGACAUUGUUAGGUGGGGUGUUUGGCUAGGAUGGAAUAUCUAUUAAAAGAUAACUCAAGUGUUCUAAGAUGAACUCAGCAAGAACAAAAAUCUCGUGUGGAACUAAAGGGUAAAAGCUCAUUUGAUUUUGAUUUCCAGUAUGAAUACAAACUGUGAAAGCAUGAUCUAUCGAUCCUUUAGAUCUUCGAAAUUUGAAGCUAAAGGUGUCAGAAAAAGUUACCAUAGGGAUAACUGGCAUGCGACAACCAAGUGUUCAUAGUAAUGUUGCUUUUGGAUCCUUCGAUGUCAGCUCUUCUUGUCAUUAUGAAGUAGAAUCCACCAAGUAUUGGAUUGUUCACCUACCAAUAGUUAACAUGAGCUGGGUUUAGACCUUCAUGAGAUAGGUUGGUUUUACCCUGCUGAUGAUAGUGUCACAAUAGUAAUUCAAUCUAGCACAAGAAAAAUCAUUGAUUCGCACAAUUAGUCAUCGUGCUUGGUUGAAAAACUAGUGGUGUGAAGUUACCGUGUGCUGAAUUAUGAUUGAACGCCUCUAAAUUAGAAUCUAGGAUAGUUUCGACGCAUGUGAUCGCUAUACAUUCAUCAACCAACAGUUGGGGCUUGUCCCUAAAGGCACAUAAUGUUAGUGAAGCCCGCAUGAUGAACGAGCCAUAUAGGAUGCCUUCAAGUACAAUUCCUACCGAGCAGU
rnacentral:rRNA from 1 species